rnacentral:rRNA from 1 species
GGGUAACCUGCCCUGUGCUGGGGAAUAACCUCGGGAAACUGAGAAUAAUACCCCAUAGUUCACCACGCCUGGAACGGUGGGUGGAUCAAAGCUCCGGCGGCACAGGAUGGGCCUGCGGCGUAUCAGGUUGUAGGGGGUGUAACGUACCCUCUAGCCUUCAACGCGUACGGGUUGUGGGAGCAAUCGCCCGGAGAUGGAUUCUGAGACACGAAUCCAGACCCUACGGGGUGCAGCAGGCGCGAAAACUUCACACUGCAGGAAACUGUGAUGAGGGAAUUCCAAGUGGCUAGACAAAGUCUAGUCUUUUUGUAACUUUUAAUCGGUUACAGAAUAAGGGGUGGGAAAGACCGGUGCCAGCCGCCGCGGUAAUACCGGCACCUCAAGUGGUCGUCGGUUUUAUUGGGCCUAAAACGUCCGUCGCCUGUUUGGUACAUUCGUGGGUAAAUCAACCAGCUUAACUGGUUGAAUUCUGCGAGGACGGCCAGACUAGGGACCGGGAGAGGUAUGGGGUACUCUCAGGGUAGGGGUAAAAUCCUGUCAUCCUGAGGGGACCACCUGUUGCGAAGGCGCCAUACUAGAACGGAUCCGACGGUCAGGGACGAAGCCUAGGGGCACGAACCGGAUUAGAUACCCGGGUAGUCCUAGGUGUAAACGCUGUGGACUUGGUGUUGGGGAUUCUACGAGUAUCCCCAGUGCC